CGAGAUCCACCUCCACCUCCACCUCCAGCCGUUCCCCAAGCAGCUGACGAGCACCAGGUCAAGCUCCGCCACCUCCACCUCCAGCCGUUCCCCAAGCAGCUGACGAGCACCAGGCACCCGACGCCAUGGACGGCCGCGGAGCUUUUUGCCACCGACGUCAACCGCAUCGCCGCCCCAAGGGAUCCGUGCGCGUGGACGCGUUGAACCGCACGCGUGCUAGAUCCAUCUGCCGGUGUGUGCCGCCCCAGAAGUAGGUCCGGCAAUGACUCUCGGCCCAGCCGUUUCACUGCUCCCACCCAAGCCGGCCUCUGCUUUCGGACCCCGUCACCGGCGCACUGCCAUGCCCGUCCUCGUCGCACUGGUGUUGUCCUCCAGUAUGAUUGCUGGCUGCGACUGGGGCCUGUACACAUUUGGUUCGGUUGCAGCGCUGCUACUUUUGAUGGAUCUAGGCUGCCCAGGCUAGCAACGUGUGUGUUGCUUUCUUGAUGCGUUUUAAGUGCAUAUGAAUUUGAUGUAUUUUGGCACUUGUCCGUGUGUGAAUCUGAUGUGCAGAACACUUAUAAGUUGCUA